CUACGGGAGGCAGCAGUGAGGAAUAUUGGGCAAUGGGGGAAACCCUGAUGCAGCAACGCCGCGUGGAGGAUGAAGGCUUCGGUUGUAAACUCCUUUUCUGUGGGAAGAGACAAGGACGGUACCACAGGAAUAAGUCACGGCUAACUACGUGCCAGCAGCCGCGGUAACACGUAGGUGGCAAGCGUUAUCCGGAUUCAUUGGGCGUAAAGCGCACGCAGGCGGCUUUUCAAGUCCGACGUGAAAUCUCUCGGCUUAACUGGGAGGGGUCGUUGGAAACUGAUUGGCUUGAGGCAAUGAGAGGGGUGUAGAAUUCCUGGUGUAGUGGUGGAAUGCGUAGAUAUCAGGAGGAAUACCAGUGGCGAAAGCGGCACCCUGGCAUUGGUCUGACGCUCAUGUGCGAAAGCGUGGGGAGCGAACGGGAUUAGAAACCCCAGUAGUCC
rnacentral:rRNA from 1 species